ensembl:lncRNA
UGAGAUAUGGGCAGGGCAGUGAGAUGUGGGCUGGGCAGGGCAGUGAGAUAUGGGCUGGGCAGGGGAGUGAGAUGUGGGCAGGGCAGUGAGAUAUGGGCAGGGCAGUGAGAUAUGGGCAGGGGAGUGAGAUAUGGGCAGGGCAGUGAGAUAUGGGCAGGGCAGUGAGAUAUGGGCUGGGCAGGGCAGUGAGAUAUGGGCUGGGCAGGGCAGUGAGAUAUGGGCAGGGCAGUGAGAUGUGGGCUGGGCAGGGGAGUGAGAUAUGGGCUGGGCAGGGCAGUGAGAUAUGGGCAGGGGAGUGAGAUAUGGGCUGGGCGGGGCAGGGAGAUAUGGGCUGGGCAGGGGAGUGAAAUGUGGGCUGGGCAGGGCAGUGAGAUAUGGGCAGGCAGUGAGAUAUGGGCAGGGCAGUGAGAUAUGGGCUGGGCAGGGCAGUGAGAUAUGGGCAGGGCAGUGAGAUAUGGGCAGGGCAGUGAGAUAUGGGCUGGGCAGGGCAGUGCGAUAUGGGCAGGGCAGGGAGAUAUGGGCAGGGAGAUAUGGGCUGGGCAGGGCAGUGAGUUAUGGGCUGGGCAGGGCAGUGAGAUAUGGGCUGGGCAGGGCAGUGAGAUAUGGGCAGGGCAUUGAGAUAUGGGCAGGGGAGUGAGAUAUGGGCAGGGCAGUGAGAUAUGGGCAGGGGAGUGAGAUAUGGGCAGGGCAGUGAGAUAUGGGCAGGGGAGUGAGAUAUGGGCAGGGCAGUGAGAUAUGGGCAGGACAGUGAGAUAUGGGCAGGGAAGUGAGAUAUGGCCAGGGCAGUGAGAUAUGGGCAGGGGAGUGAGAUAUGGGCAGGGCAGUGAGAUAUGGGCUGGGCAGGGGAGUGAGAAAUGGGCUGGGCAGGGGAGUGAGAUGUGGGCUGGGCAGGGGAGUGAGAUAUGGGCAGGGGAGUGAGAUAUGGGCAGGGCAGUGAGAUAUGGGCAGGGGAGUGAGAUAUGGGCGGGGGAGUGAGAUAUGGGCAGGGGAGUGAGAUAUGGGCAGGGGAGUGAGAUGUGGGCUGGGCAGGGCAGUGAGAUAUGGGCUGGGCA